rnacentral:rRNA from 1 species
CCUACGGGAGGCAGCAGUGGGGAAUAUUGCACAAUGGGGGAAACCCUGAUGCAGCAACGCCGCGUGAGUGAAGAAGUAUUUCGGUAUGUAAAGCUUCAUCAGUAGGGAAGAAGAAAGACGGUACCUGACUAAGAAGUCUCGGCCAACUACGUGCCAGCAGCCGCGGUAAUACGUAGGGGGCAAGCGUUAUCCGGAUUUACUGGGUGUAAAGGGAGCGUAGACGGCUGGUCAAGUCGGAAGUGAAAGCCCGUGGCUCAACCGCAGAACUGCAUUGGAAACUGUAUAGCUUGAGUACUGGAGAGGCAGGCGGAAUUCCUAGUGUAGCGGUGAAAUGCGUAGAUAUUAGGAAGAACACCAGUGGCGAAGGCAGCCUACUGGACAGAAACUGACAUUGAGGCUCGAAAGCGUGGGGAGCAAACAGGAUUAGAUACCCGAGUAGUC